AGGAUUAAAGAACAAAUACAGAACAAAUUAUUCCUCCAGCACCCCUACUGCAAGGAUUUUAAGAACUCUAUCUCAGGAUAAAGACCUGAGGAACCCACAUAGAGGCAUGCUACCUCAGCAUGGGAUUGUGAACAGCCACAGCAAUGGCUUGAUUUAGCAGGUCACAAGAUGUACAUUGCUGGCCUCAGCUGGAUUUUCCCAGGGUCAGGUGCCCAUUCCUACCUAAUCAAAGGACACUUCUGCUGACCUGCACCUAGAAUACCCUGUUCUGUGCUGAUGACUCAGAUGUAAGAAUGAUGAAGUGCAUCGGCUGGCAUGCAGAGAACAAUAAGAAAAAGAACUGAGUUGUGGGAAGACAUGAGGAAAGGACAUGAGGCUCUUAAUAACAGCUGCCAAGUACUGCAGUCGGGAAUCUGGAGCAAAGUGAUUCAAUUCUGACCACUGCCUGUGAGUAAAUGGGAUUUUAUUUUUCAAUACUUUUGUUUAAUAGUACCUCCUUCAUUACAUGUGAACAGCACUCCAGGACAGUAAAUCAUGAAAUGGGAAUAAAGCCUGUAAUUUUAAUUAAC
ensembl:lncRNA LINC01445 long intergenic non-protein coding RNA 1445